GUUCACCUGGGUCUUGUGAACCCUGGGCACCCAGCACGUAACAGUUCAUAAUUUCCAAUUAGGUCUUGAAGAUGUCAAAACCACGGACAAUUAAGUGAUACUUUACACAGGUAACAUGAUAAUAAGACCAAUCUUGGGUAUAUCUCUUUUUCUGCAGUUGUGUACAAAAGAUUAGAGUGAGAAUUAAUAACAAAUGAAGUUUUCGAAUCUCGUCUCAGAGAAAUAAAUAGCAUGUAUUAGUUUUGGACUGUUUGAGAAAGAGGAACGUAACAAGUAAACAUCGAUACAGCAACAUAACAGAAUAAAGUAGAACAAUGGACCAAAACAAAGAAAGAAUGACGAAUAGAGAAAAUAAUUCCAUGUCAACCAAGAUAGCUUAACUUUUGUUUUGAGUCAUUAUCUUUGUCCAACCCAGCGGAUUGCUAAUCUUUGCCACUCUAACUGCUGUGGCCCACAUCAUGGGUACCAUAGAUCAGAGCAGGUGACGUGCCAAAGAUUUAGGCAUCACUGGCCCUGUGUUAUAGUUGUUAUAGAAUAAAAAUAAACACUUUCUAUUAUUUGUUAUAACUGCAGAGUCAGCAUUGGAAUGACAAGUAAACUUACAAAACGUGCCCAUAUGAUUAGUGUAACUACAUCAAAACAACUAUGUGACAGCCUUCACUUUGCUGCCUAAAUGAUUACAAUGUUAUAUUAUUUGUACUAUAUCUUUUAAUAAAUUAAUGCAUGAAUGAAAUGUUUUGCGCUGUAAACUGCAAGCUAAGCAAAAAAACAUAAUAAAAUACUUUCUAAGCACGCAUAAUGUGCGCAUGUAAAACCUCUCGGCAGGCAUACAGCACAAAACAGGGAGAUGAAUAUACUCUGAAUUUACAAAAUUAUAUAAAAAAAAAAAAAAGAAAGGAUUUUCUUCAGAAUUGCAGUUUGUAUAUUUACUAAAUCUAGAUUUAGAUUCAGGACAAGAUAGGGUCUGCUGAAAAAAAUAUAAUAGCAAAGAAAUGGUCCAGAGAAUAUUUAUCAAACAAUGAUAAUUUAAUACAUUGGGAUAGUUAGUAAUAGGUUAACAAGCAUUAUAAUCUGUCUAAACCAGGGGUAGUCAACCUGGUCCCUACCGCCCACUAGUGGGUAGUUUGAGAUUUCAGGUGGGCGGUGGUAGGUUCUGAAGAAAACCCCUAGUGGGCCUCGAUGGCCGUUGACCAAAGCCGGCAGGGGAGAUUCUUUCAUCUCCAUGCAGGGCCAGCCUUGCUGUAAGCCCUCUCAGGCUGGUGAGGAGAUUAAAGUUCCAGCAGAGGGAGAGAAGGGCCUGGGAGGCUCUGUGUUCCUCCCGCGAGCAGGCUGGUCGGGGCGUUGCCGCACGUUCCUAUACAGCUCCGAUACAGUGCUCUGCUUGCAGGAGGAACAUGUCACCACUGGACCAUCAGGGCUUGAAGCAUUAUGUAUCUCCUCCUUGGUAAAAGGUAAGAAGAAGGGAGGUGGAGACAUUAAGAUAGCUUCUUACAUCUCACUCACAUACACACAGCAUAGACCCUAUGCACCCUUUACACACAAACACACACUGCCCCCUCAACACACUACACCCCUCACACACACUACACAUCUCACAGACGCACAGACUGCCCUGUUCACACACACACACUCACAGAUUUCCCACCUAACACAUACUGCCCCCUCACACAUACACAGAUUGCCCCCCUCAAACACACACUUCACCACUAACACACUGCCCCCUCACACAUGCACUGCCUCCUUCACACACACAAAGAAAACCUAAUUUCUAAAAAAAAAUGCGCUAUGAAAUUAGUUACUGCGGCACUGGUGGGCGGUAAGGAAAUUUUACCAUCAAUAAAUACAAAAGUGGGCGGUAGGUAUUAAAAGGUUGACUACCCCUGGUGUAAACUAACGUGGAAAUAUCUAUAUUUAAAUCAGUCCUUAAUAUAAAUAUCUUGUAUUCAAGUGCUUUUCAAAGUUAAAUAGUCUUGAAUUGUGUAGAGUUCAUACAGACUAGAUUAUUCAUGAAACUCAGACUAGUGGCCAAUUAAAAUGUGAAAUUAGAAUAGCUGAUCAGGAAGAAAUUCGCCAACUUGGCUAUAGUCACAGCUAAGAUUUUUUUAACCCAAAUUUUUAAAUAGAAAUUUAAAUUCGCUACAGUUCAGAACAACCCUGCAUAGCCAAAUCAAAACAGAUUUCCAAGUCAAGCCUUGUAUUGAGCUGACUAUUUGGACCUACAAUUUAAAACUGAAAACUGAAUUGCAAAUAUAAGCAUCAAUAGGCAAGCCUUGACUAUAGUGUAGUAAGAGAAAUUUGAUGUUUAGUGAAUAAACCCCUGUAGGUAUUUUUUUUGUUUUAUUUAUAAUCCUUGCAAUCUUUAUUGAGAUCCAGGUGUAAAACCGCUUACUUCAAAUCAGCAAGGUAAGGUAUCAAUAACCUUUAUUGGAACAUAUUCUAAACAUGAAUACUAUUUAGAGCAAACACCAGCCCGGAAGAGUAAAAUGGCAGAUGUGUUGGUGUAAAAUCUAUUUUCUCAGAUUUAAGCCAAUGUUUAAAGAUCUGCAGGUUCAGUAAACAGGAUAAUGGGAGUGCUUCAUUAAGGAGUUCAUGUAAUAGCCUUGUCUGGGAUAAGAUAUAAAAAUUUAAAUCACUUGUUUUAAUAGCAAAGUCCAUGAACUGAACAAGCGGUUAAAUUUGUUUAAAUUAAUCCAGAUGUGGCUGUAUAAUCUAUGCAAGCAUUGGCAAGACUGAGUCUGCUCUUUAUCACCUAAUCCUAAAAAAUAAUUUUGCAAGAGUGCCAACCCAUUUCUUCACUGAGUUCAGCAAUUUAUUAUCCAGCUUGUGCCUCCUUCAAGGUAGGAGAGAAAACUGCCUGCAGCAAGUAAACUAAUUAGCGGGGCCUUGGGGCCUCAAUCAUUGACCAAACACUGUUUUGUAAUGCAAUCUGCCCUUUGAAGACAUAAUCAGUGUGAUUUCCUAUAAGCAUCGAUAUUGUACAUCUGACUACAGUCCAUAACCUCAUGUCCUCUAAUCAGCCCAACACACAUUGCAGUUGAACAUCUUCCAAGACUAUAACAGGGCCUAUCUAUCAUCUUCUAUUUGUUCUUCAUAAUAAGACCUUUUGUAAAUAAUUACUCAUUAUUAAAAAAAAAAAAAAAAAAAAAAGUAUCAUAGAGGCACCAGAUGUGCAUUCUUUUUUGGUGGAUAAGACAUAAUGUGAUGGAAGCUCGUUUGAGCAGGGUGCUCAACAACCUCUGUUCAUGUGUGUCCAACAAGCCUGUUAGUCCACCCAUGUACAGCACUUUGGAAUUUGUUGGCGCUUUAUAAAUAAUAAUAAUAAUAAUAGGUGGUGAUGUAUAAUAUGAUUACCACAAAGGAAAAACACCCCUUACUUCAAUUUCAUGUUAAUGAUUUUUUUGUAAAAAAAUAGUUUUUAUCUCUCUUAAUAAAUGCAGGUGAGUAAUACCUCAAUCUCCAUAGCUGUUUGCAGUUUUACAUAGAUAUAUACACACACACAUAUAUAUAUAUAUAUUUUUUGUUAUAAUCUUUAUCGAGGACCAGUAAAGAAACAUGUUUUAUCACUGAUAUUGCCAAUAAUGCAAUACAUUGAGCUUAUUUGUCCACAUUUUCCAUUUUCUAAAAUAAAAGUGAAACAAUUAAACAAAACAUAGGAAGAAGAGGAAAGGGAGGGUGUUUGGUGGUAGGGAACCCAUUAUGUAGACUUGGAAGGUCGUGGAGAAGGAGGAUCUAUUUGUAGUAGAACACGUCUGCCGUAUAUAAAGUUUCAGAGGUAUUUUGCCUUGCGGAUGAGCUCUCCUUAGUAUGGCUAAACCAAACAUUCUACAUUGCAGACUAAUUCCAAAAUUUAGUAAUCAGCACUGGUUUAAAAGUGCAAAUUUGAUGAGUUAAUCCCAGGGUUCUACUCCAAGAUCAAAGGCCACUUUUAAAUCAGGUUUAGUGUGCAAAUGGAGAAAAGUGAAUACAUAAUGGUAAUAUUAGACUUUAGAAAUUAAUUUACUUACUAACUGGAAUUUGUCUGAAUUUGGGCAGAUCGAUUGAUAGCACAAAUUUCGGAAUUUUGAGCCAAACCAUAAAAAUCUCACAAUGUCCGAACACAUUCGUUUGAUUUGUAAUUAGGAAUUACACCUGUGGUGCCAAAAAAAGAGAUGUUUAUUGGGUGAAAAAAUUACCAAUUGUUGUUGCACUGCCGUUAGUUUUUUAUUUUAUUCACCGAUGAAGUGAGGAGUGGCCAAGAAAUGGUAAAAAGGAG
rnacentral:lncRNA from 1 species